UAUCUCUGUAGAGUCUGCAUAUCAAUAAGCGGAGGAAAAGAAACUAACUAGGAUUCCCUUAGUAACGGCGAGUGAAGCGGGAAGAGCUCAAAUUUGAAAUCUUCAAGGUUUUACCUUGACGAAUUGUAGUUUAAAGAAGUGUUUUCUGUUGGUGUUUUGGUAAAAGUUCUUUGGAAUAGGACAUCAUAGAGGGUGAGAAUCCCGUAUUUGACCAUUAUUUCCAGCUUUGUGAUACACUUUCAAAGAGUCGGAUUGUUUGGGAAUGCAGUCCAAAAUGGGUGGUAAAUUUCAUCUAAAGCUAAAUAUUGGCGAGAGACCGAUAGCGAACAAGUACCGUGAGGGAAAGAUGAAAAGAACUUUGAAAAGAGAGUUAAACAGUACGUGAAAUUGUCAAAAGGGAAGCGUUUGACACCAGUGUUGUUUUUCCGAAAAUCAAUUAAAGGAUGGCUGAUUUUAAGUUUCAUGACCUUAAAAGCUUGUUGCUUAUUUUUCCGGUCUUUCUUAAUGCACUUUUCGGUUAACAAGUCAACAUCAAUUUCUUUUGUUGUAAAAGGUUAAGAGGAAGGUGGCUUUACUUUCGGGUAAAGUGUUUAUAGCCUUUUAACUCUGCAAUCGGAGAGAUUGAGGUCUGCAGCGUAGAUCCUUCGGGGCUAGAUACGUUUGUGCUAAGUUAUAGCUUUUCAUAGACAACUUGCUGACUAUGUUUAGUCUUGUAGCUUACUCGCUGACGCUAUUUUACCUACGCUUAGGAUGUUGAUGUGAUACUGCGAGC
rnacentral:rRNA from 1 species